rnacentral:rRNA from 1 species
AAAACAAUCCUACGGGAGGCAGCAGUGGGGAAUAUUGGACAAUGGGGGAAACCCUGAUCCAGCGAUGCCGCGUGAAUGAUGAAGGCCUUAGGGUUGUAAAGUUCUUUCACCUGUGACGAUGAUGACGGUAACAGGAGAAGAAGCCCCGGCUAACUCCGUGCCAGCAGCCGCGGUAAGACGGAGGGGGCUAGCGUUGUUCGGAAUGACUGGGCGUAAAGGGCGCGUAGGCGGCUUAUCAAGUCAGGUGUGAAAGCCUUGGGCUUAACCCAAGAAUUGCGCUUGAUACUGAUAAGCUAGAGGAUGAUAGAGGAAAGCGGAAUUCCUAGUGUAGAGGUGAAAU